UUAAAGCGGUACGCGAGCUGGGUUCAGAACGUCGUGAGACAGUUCGGUCCCUAUCCGUCGCGGGCGCAGGAAAUUUGAGAGGAGCUGUCCUUAGUACGAGAGGACCGGGAUGGACGCACCGCUGGUGUACCAGUUGUUCUGCCAAGGGCAUCGCUGGGUAGCUAUGUGCGGACGGGAUAAGUGCUGAAAGCAUCUAAGCAUGAAGCCCCCCUCAAGAUGAGAUUUCCCAUUCCGCAAGGAAGUAAGAUCCCUGAAAGAUGAUCAGGUUGAUAGGUCUGAGGUGGAAGCGUGGUGACACGUGGAGCUGACAGAUACUAAUAGAUCGAGGACUUAACCUAU
rnacentral:rRNA from 2 species